rnacentral:rRNA from 1 species
GUAGGCGGCAAGUUAAGUGGGUAGUGAAAUCGUGUGGCUCAACCAUAUACACAUUACAGAAACUGCUCAGCUAGAGGGCGAGAGAGGUUACUAGAAUUCCUAGUGUAGGAGUGAAAUCCGUAGAUAUUAGGAGGAAUACCGAUGGCGUAGGCAGGUAACUGGCUCGUCCCUGACACUAAGGCACGAAAGCGUGGGGAGCAAACGGGAUUAGAUACCCCGGUAGUCCACGCUGUAAACGAUGGAUGCUAGCUGUAAGAGGUAUCGACCCCUCUUGUAGCGAAGCUAACGCGUUAAGCAUCCCGCCUGUGGAGUACGGUCGCAAGACUAAAACAUAAAGGAAUUGACGGGGACCCGCACAAGCGGUGGAGCGUGUUGUUUAAUUCGAUGGUAAACGAAGAACCUUACCCAGGUUUGACAUCCUUGGAAUUUUGCCGAAAGGCGAGAGUGCUUUAUUGAGCCAAGUGACAGGUGCUGCAUGGCCGUCGUCAGCUCGUGUCGUGAGAUGUUUGGUUAAGUCCAUCAACGAGCGCAACCCUUAUAGUCUGUUGUAUUUUUCAGGCUAGACUGCCCCGGUAACGGGGAGGAAGGAGGGGAUGAUGUCAGGUCAGUAUUACCCUUACAUCUGGGGCUACAAACACGCUACAAUGGCCGGUACAAAGGGCAGCCAAGUCGCGAGACGGAGCAAAUCCCAUCAAAGCCGGUCCCAGUUCAGAUUGCAGGCUGAAACUCGCCUGCAUGAAGUCGGAAUCGCUAGUAACGGUAGGUCAGCUAUACUACCGUGAAUACGUUCCCGGGUCUUGUACACACCGCCCGUCAAACCAUGAAAGUCACCAAUACCUGACGUGUUGCCUUCGCGCAGCCCUAAGGUAGGGGGGAUGAUUGGGGUU